GUGUGCCUACGGGGGGCAGCAGUGGGGAAUAUUGGGCAAUGGGCGUAAGCCUGACCCAGCAACGCCGCGUGAAGGAAGAAGGCUUUCGGGUUGUAAACUUCUUUUGUCAGGGACGAAGCAAGUGACGGUACCUGACGAAUAAGCCACGGCUAACUACGUGCCAGCAGCCGCGGUAAUACGUAGGCGGCAAGCGUUAUCCGGAUUUGUUGGGUGUAAAGGGCGUGAAGGCGGGAAUGCAA
rnacentral:rRNA from 1 species